GCAGAACUGACUGCACUUAAUCGUCUUUGAUCCUCUAUGCACAUGUUUGAAUACUGUGCAAUAAAGGUGUCUAGACUAUUGGUUCUGUACUCUGGCCAUUAAGUCACUUAGGACCUUAAAAAAUAAUUAGUGUUGGGUCAGCCAUGGAUGACAUCAAGCUGUGUCCCUGUGCAUGGAUUCUGAGAGCAUUGUUUUAGGCCCUAAUGAUUCCCAUGUCUGAGUGAGACUGAGAACAACUGAUUUAGAUACAUUUAUAAACAAGCAAAUUAUAGAGUUAUGUACUUGUUUCAAAUUAACAUACAUGGUAUUACACUGUGAAUCUCACUGUGUUUUCUUUGUAGUGCCCUUGAGAGCUCUCCAUGGUGCUGCCUAGUUUAUUACAUGCAUAUUCACAGCAUCCCUGUUCCACUCGUGCAAAUUUUACCUCCUUGGACCCGAGAGCCAAACAGCAAUAGGACUGCCCAUAUUCCUCGCAUGGGAAUAUCUAAUGGGGUAGUUCAUUGAACACAAAUACUACUACUGAAAGAUACUGAGGGGGGCCAGCACUGUGGCGAAGUGGGCUAAGCCUCCGCCUGCAAGGCCGGCAUCCCAUACGGGCUCUGGUUCAUGUCCAGGCUGCUCCACU
rnacentral:lncRNA from 1 species